AGGACGAACGCUGGCGGCAUGCCUAACACAUGCAAGUCGAACGGAAGUAGCAAUACUUUAGUGGCGAACGGGUGAGUAACACGUGAGCAACCUGCCUUAUACGUCAGGGAUAACAGUUGGAAACGACUGCUAAUACCGGAUAAGACCACGCUAUGGCAUCAUAGAGGGGUCAAAGUGCUUUAGCGGUAUGAGAUGGGCUCGCGUCCAAUUAGCUAGUUGGUGGGGUAACGGCCCACCAAGGCGACGAUUGGUAGCCGACUUGAGAGAGUGAUCGGCCACACUGGAACUGAGACACGGUCCAGACUCCUACGGGAGGCAGCAGUGGGGAAUAUUGGGCAAUGGAGGAAACUCUUACCCAAGCAAUGCCGCGUGAGUGAUGAAGGUCUUUGGAUUGUAAAGCUCUUUGAUUGGGGAAGAAUAAAUGACGGUACCCAAAGAACAAGCCCCGGCUAACUAUGUGCCAGCCGCCGC
rnacentral:rRNA from 1 species